rnacentral:lncRNA from 1 species
AAAUUAUUAGAAGUGAUCUAUUUUGUCUCAUAAAAUAUUGAGGAAAUAAGACAGUUUUUGAAAGUUUCAAUUUUAAAAGCAGUGCCUUAUGGAUCACAGCAGAGCUGGGCAACUCAAGGAAAAAGCGUUAGAACCACAUCACUUGCUUAAUGGGAAGGAAAGCAAUACUUUGCAGAUGUGAACAGUGCCGUCUAUUUGGUUGCAG